AAUCAACGCUGGCGGCGUGCCUCAGACAUGCAAGUCGAACGAUUAAGACUCCCUUCGGGGAGUGCAUAAAGUGGCGCACGGGUGAGUAACACGUAAGUAAUCUACCCUCGAGUGGGGAAUAACGUUCGGAAACGAACGCUAAUACCGCAUAAUGCAGCGGCACCGCAAGGUGACAGUUGUUAAAGGAGCAAUCCGCUUGAGGAGGAGCUUGCGGCAGAUUAGCUAGUUGGUAAGGUAACGGCUUACCAAGGCUACGAUCUGUAUCCGGCCUGAGAGGGCGGUCGGACACACUGACACUGAAUAACGGGUCAGACUCCUACGGGAGGCAGCAGUCGGGAAUUUUGGGCAAUGGGCGAAAGCCUGACCCAGCAACGCCGCGUGAAGGAUGAAGUAUUUCGGUAUGUAAACUUCGAAAGAAUAGGAAGAGUAAAUGACGGUACUAUUUAUAAGCUCCGGCUAACUACGUGCCAGCAGCCGCGGUAAGAC
rnacentral:rRNA from 1 species